UACAGAGGGUGCAAGCGUUGUUCGGAAUUAUUGGGCGUAAAGGGCAGGUAGGUGGUCUUAAAAGUCUACUGUGAAAUCCCUGGGCUUAACCCAGGAAGUGCGGUGGAUACUCUAGGACUUGAGUGUCGGAGGGGUGCGUGGAAUUCUCAGUGUAGCGGUGAAAUGCGUAGAUAUUGAGAGGAACACCAGAGGCGAAAGCGGCGCACUGGACGACAACUGACACUAAACUGCGAAAGCGUGGGGAGCAAAC
rnacentral:rRNA from 1 species